UACGGGGGGUGCGAGCGUUGUCCGGAAUCACUGGGCGUAAAGGGCGCGUAGGUGGCGUCGUAAGUCUGUGGUGAAAGCCCGGAGCUCAACUCCGGGUCUGCCGCGGAUACUGCGAGGCUUGAGUGCUGUAGAGGGGGGUAGAAUUCCACGUGUAGCAGUGAAAUGCGUAGAGAUGUGGAGGAAUACCGAUGGCGAAGGCAGCCCCCUGGGAUGACACUGACGCUCAUGCACGAAAGCGUGGGGAGCAAACAGG
rnacentral:rRNA from 1 species